rnacentral:rRNA from 1 species
GAUGAACGUUGGCGGCGUGCCUAACACAUGCAAGUCGAACGUGAAGGCCUGGAUGAUUACUUCGGUUUGAUUCUGGGUUGGAAAGUGGCGAACGGGUGAGUAACACGUGGAUAACCUGCCUCGAAGUGGGGGACAACCAUUGGAAACGAUGGCUAAUACCGCAUAGUCCCAUUUAUAUGAGAGUAUUGAUGGGUAAAACUCCGGUGCUUCGAGAGGGGUCUGCGUCCGAUUAGCUAGUUGGCGGGGUAAAGGCCCACCAAGGCGACGAUCGGUAGCUGGUCUGAGAGGACGAUCAGUCACACGGGAACUGAGACACGGUCCCGACUCCUACGGGGGGCAGCAGUGAGGAAUAUUGCACAAUGGGGGAAACCCUGAUGCAGCAACGCCGCGUGGAGGAUGAAGGCUUCGGUCGUAAACUCCUUUUCUGGGGGAAGAGGAAGGACGGUACCCCAGGAAUAAGUCACGGCUAACUACG